GUGGGGAAUUUUGGACAAUGGGCGCAAGCCUGAUCCAGCAAUGCCGCGUGCAGGAAGAAGGCCUUCGGGUUGUAAACUGCUUUUGUACGGAACGAAACGGUCCUGGUUAAUACCUGGGGCUAAUGACGGUACCGUAAGAAUAAGCACCGGCUAACUACGUGCCAGCAGCCGCGGUAAUACGUAGGGUGCGAGCGUUAAUCGGAAUUACUGGGCGUAAAGCGUGCGCAGGCGGUGCUGUAAGACAGGCGUGAAAUCCCCGGGCUCAACCUGGGAAUUGCGCUUGGGACUGCAGUGCUGGAGUGCGGCAGAGGGGGAUGGAAGUCCGCGUGUAGCAGUGAAAUGCGUAGAUAUGCGGAGGAACACCGAUGGCGAAGGCAAUCCCCUGGGCCUGCACUGACGCUCAUGCACGAAAGCGUGGGGAGCAAACAGGAUUAGAAACCCGGGUAGUCC
rnacentral:rRNA from 1 species